GACGAACGCUGGCGGCGUGCUUAACACAUGCAAGUCGAACGGUAAGGCCCUUCGGGGUACACGAGUGGCGAACGGGUGAGUAACACGUGGGUGAUCUGCCCUGCACUUCGGGAUAAGCCUGGGAAACUGGGUCUAAUACCGGAUAGGACCACUGCCUGCAUGGGUGGUGGUGGAAAGCUUUUGCGGUGUGGGAUGUGCCCGCGGCCUAUCAGCUUGUUGGUGGGGGGAUGGCCUACCAAGGCGACGACGGGUAGCCGGCCUGAGAGGGUGACCGGCCAGACUGGGACUGAGAUACGGCCCAGAGUCCAGCGGGUGGCGGCAGUGGGGAAUAGUGCACAAUGGGCGCAAGCCUGAUGCAGCGACGCCGCGUGAGGGAUGGCGGCCUUCGGGGUGUAAGCCUCUUUCCGCACCGACGAAGCGCAAGUGACGGUAGGUGCAGAAGAAGGACCGGCCAAGUACGUGCCAGCCGCCGCCGUAAGAC
rnacentral:rRNA from 1 species